CCCAGCCUUAGUUUGUCCCUAGGCCUCUAGAGCACCACAGUUACUGGAACUUCACAGGUGCGGCCACUGCGCACACCUUCCUGGAAGCAGGCCCAGCCCCACACGCCAUGUUCUCGGAGGAGAAGCCUUCUCUGAGAUCCUCUCCUUUUGUUGAGAAAGGCCUGGCUAGAGUGCUUUGUGCAGGAUGGUUCCAGUGCCUACACCCUAGGUCUGAGAAGCCACAUGGCUCAGUGCCUUCAGGACAUGCCCUCCCCUCCCCUCCUAGUGUCGUUUCUGCUGAGCAGCUGGUCGUAAGGACCCGGGCCUUCAGCUUUCCCCGCAUGCUGGCUUUCCAAUUUGACAUCACUGACCAGGCACUAAGAGAUUCCCAGGUGCUAGACGAGGUGAGUAACAUGUCUGUCCUUCAGCGGCCUUUCACAGCCCACCUAAGGGCACCCUGCAUCCAAGCACAUUUCCAUUGCCCAGCUGCAUCCUUGGUCGGGGGGCUGCUGAACAGUGGUAUCUUCGUGGGUUUUCUCUCAUCGAACACCACCAGCUUAAUCCAGUUAAGGAAUUCCUCAUAACUUAGCCCUGUAGGUAUUUCCUUAGGGGAUAACAGGAGUUUUCAACUAAAUAGAACAACCUUUUUUCUACUUCAGUUAGCCCUAUAAUGUUCCUCAGUAUUUCAUAUUGGAAAGUAAACAAUUCUGUGCCUGCCAGGGAACAGGAAUCCUGGGAACUGUUUAGUUCAAAAGCACCGGGAAAGUGAGUGGCUGGCAGCCAGCAACCAAGGUCAUCUUGACCCAGGAACACAUGUUAGAAGAAUGUGGAACAUUCCGCAAAUACUGGGUGCAGGGUUUAGCACCCCUGAAGAUCGGUGAUGGAGAUGCUGUCUAACGACUAUGAGAUUAUCAGUUUCAUCCCGAAUUCCCAGAAACAGAGGGGACUGGACAAAACUAGUGACAUUAGGGAGAGGGGCGGCACAUAGGCUGGUUAUUCAGAAGAGGAAGCAGAAUGAAUGCGCGCCUCACAGGCUUUCAAAUGACUGUGGUGGUAAAAAGGCAGGUGCGCCAUGCUGCCACUGUGGGAGACCGAGGAACAAGGGCCACAGGUACCCACACAUCUCAGGGGCUGGCUUUCUUUGAGGGAAUGCAAUGGGCAGCUCACUGUCCACAUUGUUUCUGAGCUCUUGGGAGUAUUUUCUUAGAAAACAGUAACUUUCAAUGUACUAACAAUCCUUUUAAGUUAUUCUCCAUAAAUCUGUCUUUUGACUGAAUUACAAGCUUCUAGAGGGCGAGAGUUAGUAAGCCCCAUGAUGUCACAUAGGCCAAGGAAGUUAUGUCACUCCGCCAUGGAGUCUCUAAAUAUGGGGAAACCAACUAUCCUAUUAACAAUUCACCAACUGUCCAUAAAACCCCGUUAGACCCAGGCUGCAUGCCUUGCAGUGGGGGCCUCACCUGGCAUCCUGCAGACAGGGAGACAGUGCAAUCAUGAUGGAGCAGUCCUUGGCAGUCAUGGCGACGCGGUACUGCUGCACCUGCAGGGGCGGGAAAGAUCAGCUCCAGGUCACACAGGAAGCCUCUGCCCCCCCACACAACCUUCCUUCCCAGUAGCCAAGUGUGGGAACUGCUUCCUGCCUCAGAACCUGAGGGUGGGAUUAGGAGCGAGGGCCACGGUGAGCACGGGCGUCAGGAGGUCGCCCUGUGAGAGCACCUGGGCCAGCCCUCAGUGCCACGGGGCUGCUCAGAGGCCAGCACCGCCCCCUGACCUCUCACGGCAAGCAGUGUGGGACCCCGACUCCAGACCCUGAGACGGAUGAUCUGUCUUCAGCAAGGUCACCACAGUCGGCCUUUGGAAGGAAAAGCAGUAAGCCACCUGAGCCCCGCAUGUUGGCCACACUCAGAGUAUCAAGUGAGUAUCACUCGACACCUGCAAGGAGAGCGCAGGGGGUGUUCAGCAAGGCAUCGCUUAGAACGACAUUCCCUCCGGAACAUCAUACAGCCACCAGAGACAACGGCAGACGGCCACCCUUCUACAGGCUGUGCAUGUGUUAACUUGCUCCACCCUCACAGCAGCCCAACAGGGCAGCACGGCCGGCGUCCCACUUUACAGACAAGCAACAGACACAGACAUCACUUGUCUGUCAUGCCCUGCUUGUCAAUGGCAAGGCAGGGACUCAAACCCGGUACGCUGGCUCUGACAUUUACACUCUUCAACACAUGCUCCAAGCUAUGUGGGUCUGUCCAUACUGACCAGGGACAGCUCAACACACACCACACUGUCAGAGUCGACAUACGUAAAGCUGUACAUGUGCACAUGUGUGUGACGCGGGCAGGGAGAAAGGUGAAGGACAGGCACCACAAUGCUCACAACUGUCUCCUCUACAGAGCAGAAUGUGAGGCACUCUCUCCUCUUCCUUCUUUGGACUUUCAUAUAUGGUUUGCAUUGUUUUAGAUGGCAUAGCUCUCGCUUUCACAAAAAUAAACAGUUGUAAAAGAAAAGGAAAAAAAAAAAAAAA
rnacentral:lncRNA from 1 species